rnacentral:rRNA from 1 species
CCUACGGGAGGCACCAGUGGGGAAUAUUGCACAAUGGGCGCAAGCCUGAUGCAGCCAUGCCGCGUGUAUGAAGAAGGCCUUAGGGUUGUAAAGCACUUUCAGUUGGGAGGAAGGCGUUGAUGCUAAUAUCACCAACGAUUGACGUUACCAACAGAAGAAGCACCGGCUGACUCCGCGCCAGCAGCCGCGGUACUACGGAGGGUGCAAGCGUUAAUCGGAAUUACUGGGCGUAAAGCGCACGCAGGCGGUUGAUUAAGUUAGAUGUGAAAUCCCCGGGCUUAACCUGGGAAUGGCAUCUAAGACUGGUCAGCUAGAGUCUUGUAGAGGGGGGUAGAAUUCCAUGUGUAGCGGUGAAAUGCGUAGAGAUGUGGAGGAAUACCGGUGGCGAAGGCGGCCCCCCGGACAAAGACUGACGCUCAGGUGCGAAAGCGUGGGGAGCAAACAGGAUUAGAUACCCCUGUAGUC